rnacentral:rRNA from 1 species
AUGCCGGGCUGCCUCGCCGGCCUGGCCACCCCUCCGCCCGCCGCGCUCCACCUCCUGCUCCGCGGCCGCAGCCGCAUGGCCUUCUCAGCGGCCGCGCCGUCCCGCGCAUUCCAGCUCCGCCUCAACCCGCUCACCGGCGACUCCGAGUGGCUCGUUGUGGACGAGGAAGGUGAGGAGGGGGCGGCGCCUCCCCAGACGCAGAGGCAGCUCCUCGCCGCCACCUCCUACCUCGACAUGCUCAACGACGCCGCCCGCAACCGCGCCUACCGCUGCGCCAUCGACGCCGCCGUCUCCGACCCUUCCGCCCGCGUCCUCGACAUCGGAGCCGGGACCGGGCUGCUCUCCAUGAUGUCCGCGCGAGCUUUGGGGGCUGUUGGAGGCGAAGGCAGGGGCAGCGUGUCGGUGUGUGAAUCCUACCUUCCCAUGGGCAAGUUAACGCGGAAGGUACUGAGAGCCAACAGGAUGGAGAAUAAGGUGAAGCUCUUCCACAAGCGGUCAGAUGAGCUCGAAGUUGGAGUCGAGCUUGAUUCGCCAGCUGAUGUACUGGUGAGUGAAAUUCUUGACUCUGAGCUGUUGGGUGAGGGUCUGAUACCUACUCUACAGCAAGCUCAUGAUUCGUUAUUGGUGAAAAAUCCAAAGACAGUCCCAUAUCGAGCAACUACAUACGGGCAGUUAGUCGAAAGUCCGUUCUUGUGGAAGAUGCAUGAUUUGCACAGCAAUGAAGCAAAUGCUGCAGAUGGUGUCUGGCUUACUCCUGAUGGGAUGGAAAAUAUUGUUUCUGUGAAGCUGCAGCAACAUGCAAUGCAAUGUGACCCAUUAGAGGAUGAGAUACGAUUGCUGUCAGAACCCUUCAAAGUUUUUGAAUUUGACUUUUCGGAACGACCAGAGAGCCAGCGUGAGAACAAGAUCACGAUUAAAACAACUGGUGAUGGCUGUGUUCAUGCUAUUAUUUCAUGGUGGGUGCUUCAGUUAGAUUCUGCUGGUUCAAUCUUCUACUCCACAGCUCCCAAAUGGGUGAGGCAAUCAAGUAUCAAGGAUCUACCACAAUGCACUGACGACACGAAGGAUUGGUGUGAUCACUGGAAGCAUUGUGUUUGGUUUACACAAGGAAGGGGUGCUCCUGUUAUGAAAGAUCAAACUCUUUCUCUAAGGGCUAGUCAUAACCUCACUAGCAUCUCUUAUCAGCUGCUAAACCCCAAUGAUGAAGCAUGCAAUGGAAACUUGAAAGCUGACCAUCUAACAUUGUUGCCAGAAAGGAUAGCACUUUAUGGUGAUAUAUGUUGGAGAUCAGCUUUGAUAACAGCAAUUAAAAGUGCUCUGAGUGACAGAUCUCCGCAAACCUGUAUUGUGGCUGAUGACAGUAUAUUCUUAGCUCUCUUAGUUUCUUCUCUCUCACCAUCUUCAAAAGUCAUUGCCAUGUUUCCUGGUCUACGGGACAAGGGUGCAACAUAUCUCCAAGCUGUUGCAAAGGCAAACAAUUUCUCCAUGGAUCAAAUUCAAGUGAUUGGUAAAAGAGCGGCAUCUCUUUCAACGGAUGAUUUGGAACAUAAAAAGAUUAACUUAUUAGUGGGCGAACCAUUUUAUUGUGGCAGUGAAGGGAUGCUUCCAUGGCAAAACCUGCGUUUCUGGAAUGCAAGAACUCUGUUUCAUUCAAUGUUAUCCGAGGAUGCACUCAUAAUGCCUUGCAAAGGAGUAUUAAAAUUAUGCGCCAUGUCUCUUCCUGACUUGUGGAAGAGCCGUCGCAGCCUUAAAGAUGUCGAGGGUUUUGACCACUCGGUUGUUAACGAGACUUUAGGAGCCUGCGGUGAUCUGCCCGGAGAGCAGCAAGGUCCUUGUCUUCCCUAUUAUGUAUGGCAAUGUGGUUAUACGAAGAAAUUAAGCAAAGUGUACUCUCUCAUGGACUUCAACUUUUCUGAGCCUAUUCACUCCUGCUUUGGGAAAACAAAGAUCGAGUUUGCCGAUGCGGGCAUGUGCCACGGCUUCGCGGUUUGGAUCGACUGGGUGCUCGACGAGAAGAACUCCAUUGUGAUAAGCACGGGACCAGAUAGCAGAUACUGGAAGCAAGGCGUGCAGCUCCUGAGUAAGCCUGUGGAAGUGAACCCAGCCGAGUCGGCUGCGCUCGUGGAGGCCUCCUUCGAUCCUGCCUCUGGCGACAUCACAUUCAAUUCCUCCUUCUCUUGA